AUGUGCUGGAAGAGGCCCUGCUUGUGAGAGGACGUCUCUAUCCCAGUGCCCAUGACCAGCCCUCCUGCAGGAAACAUCACAGCCUCAGUAACCAAGGCAAAAGAAAGAAUAUCUAGGAUCUCAUAUAAGUAAGUGAGAGAAACCUCAAGAGGGAUGUGCAGCUUACCAACAGUGAGGUCAUCCAUCUCUGGCACCACAGGGAUGGUCCACCCUAGCUCCACCAGGGUGUGGGUAAGCUGGCCCAUGGUCACCAGUGGCUCACACCACACUGUCUGUUAACACCACCACAGAUACGGUAUCCGCUCAUGUCAUCCCAGAGGGCCCAGUGCAGGGAGCAGGGGUGAUGACGUC